rnacentral:rRNA from 1 species
ACUCGACUCCUACGGGAGGCAGCAGUGGGGAAUAUUGCACAAUGGGCGAAAGCCUGAUGCAGCGACGCCGCGUGAGGGACGACGGCCUUCGGGUUGUAAACCUCUUUCAGUAGGGAACAAGGCAUCAUUUUUGUGGUGUUGAGGGUACUUGCAGAAGAAGCACCGGCUAACUACGUGCCAGCAGCCGCGGUAAUACGUAGGGUGCAAGCGUUAUCCGGAAUUAUUGGGCGUAAAGAGCUCGUAGGCGGUUUGUCGCGUCUGUCGUGAAAGUCCGGGGCUCAACUCCGGAUCUGCGGUGGGUACGGGCAGACUAGAGUGAUGUAGGGGAGACUGGAAUUCCUGGUGUAGCGGUGGAAUGCGCAGAUAUCAGGAGGAACACCGAUGGCGAAGGCAGGUCUCUGGGCAUUAACUGACGCUGAGGAGCGAAAGCAUGGGGAGCGAACAGGAUUAGAUACCCUGGUAG